rnacentral:rRNA from 1 species
GACGAACGCUGGCGGCGUGCUUAACACAUGCAAGUCGAACGGUGAAGCGCCUUCCUUUUUGGUGGGUGUGGAUGAGUGGCGAACGGGUGAGUAACACGUGAGUAACCUGCCCCCUUCUUCUGGAUAACCGCAUGAAAGUGUGGCUAAUACGGGAUAUUCUGGGUCUGUCGCAUGAUGGGUCUGGGAAAGAUAUUGUUUCGGUGGGGGAUGGGCUCGCGGCCUAUCAGCUUGUUGGUGGGGUGAUGGCCUACCAAGGCGGUGACGGGUAGCCGGCCUGAGAGGGUGGACGGUCACACUGGGACGGAGACACGGCCCAGACUCCGACGGGAGGCAGCAGUGGGGAAUAGUGCACGAUGGGCGCAAGGCUGAUGCAGCGACGCCGCGGGAGGGAUGGAGGCCUGCGGGUUGUGAACCUCUUUCGCCAGUGAAGCAGGCCUGCCUCGUUUGUGGGUGGGUUGACGGUAGCUGGAUAAGAAGCGCCGGCUAACUACGUG